rnacentral:RNase_P_RNA from 1 species
CUGACCAUUUGAAGUAGUCGCCCCCGUCUGAGGCGGGGGAGGAAAGUCCGGGCACCGAAGAGUAGGGUAUCCCGCGUAAGCGGGACGGGGGUGACCCCAGGGAUAGUAGCACAGAGACUAUACCGCUAACCUCGCUUAUGCGGGGCAGCAAGGGUGAAAAGAGGUGGUGUAAGAGACCACAACUCAGUGUCGGAAGACAUUGAGGGGCGAAACUCCUUCCUGGUGCAAGUCGGGUGGGCCCGCACAUCAUCAUUAAAGCUACUCGCUUGAUGUCCACGGGUCCCGACGCAUUAGAUAAAUGACUACACAAACAGAACCCGGCUUAUCAAAUGGUCAGGCUU